ACUGGGCGUAAGCGCAUGCAGGUGGUUUGUUAAGUCAGAUGUGAAGCCCGGGGCUCAACCUCGGAAUUGCAUUUGAAACUGGCAGACUAGAGUACUGUAGAGGGGGGUAGAAUUUCAGGUGUAGCGGUGAAAUGCGUAGAGAUCUGAAGGAAUACCGGUGGCGAAGGCGGCCCCCUGGACAGAUACUGACACUCAGAUGCGAAAGCGUGGGGAGCAAACAGGAUUAGAUACCCUGGUAGUCCACGCCGUAAACGAUGUCUACUUGGAGGUUGUGGCCUUGAGCCGUGGCUUUCGGAGCUAACGCGUUAAGUAGACCGCCUGGGGAGUACGGUCGCAAGAUUAAAACUCAAAUGAAUUGACGGGGGCCCGCACAAGCGGUGGAGCAUGUGGUUUAAUUCGAUGCAACGCGAAGAACCUUACCUACUCUUGACAUCCAGAGAACUUUCCAGAGAUGGAUUGGUGCCUUCGGGAACUCUGAGACAGGUGCUGCAUGGCUGUCGUCAGCUCGUGUUGUGAAAUGUUGGGUUAAGUCCCGCAACGAGCGCAACCC
rnacentral:rRNA from 1 species